AAGAACCCUGAUGUAGACCAACAGAGAGAAGAAGAAGCAGGACAUGCAGAACAUAAAGUUAACUGUGAGAAGAUGAAAGUCACAGGACCAUGGCCAGGGUUGUUUCUGAAGAGGAUAGACAUGUCUAAAGUCUGCCAGUACAUUAGUUUCAAUAUAGAUGCCAGACAUCUGGAUGACAUUUACAGUGAGGAUAGGAGACUUGAUGGGGAAGAUGAUUUUGUUGAGGAAGACAAUUUUGCUGAACAUGAGGACUGGGUUAAGGAGGAGAUAAAAUACAACAGCCAGGCUGAGGUAAAGGUUGAGAUCGGGUCAGUCUCUGAGAUGGGACAGUCUAUUGACAUGGCUAGAAAUACUGAGAAUGUUGAGAGGGGUCAGCUAAGAAAGAUAGCAAAUCAGAUGCCUGUAACUGGGAGGGCCAAGAGAGGUGUAUCUGCCCCUGUCAUCUCCUCGUCCAGCCCUAACACCGCUGAGAGAGAGACCCUCUCCUGCCUGAAACGUAAAAACAAAAAAGAUCCCUCCCAUAGACCAAGCCACUGCUGUCCUGACUGUGACAUGCCUGAACCACCACCGCAGAAGCCAUAAUAAGGUUCUGAGCUGCCCUGAGUGUGGGAAGCAGUUCAGGGACAAGUAUAAUCUGAAAUGUCACAUAAGGACCCACACAGGUAAAAAAAGAAGGGACAUUUCAAAAAAUGACAUUCAUAUUCAUUAUCUCCAGCACCACCCCAACAUCAAAAUGGUGCAUGUCUAUGUUCUGAAGUCGAGAUGGAGAAGGAUACGUUUCUGAUGAGCUCAUCCGGAAAACCGUUUGACAUUAUCUGGUACUUUACUAACCUUUGCCUGCUCGUAGCCUGUAGUGUGUAUUCAUCGAUGCCAAGGGAAGCCAGGCUUCCCAAAAAAAUUGACUAAGAAAAAAAACAUACAAAAUAAUUUAUAUUUCGUCUCUCUCUGUGUUUCAUAAAUUUCCUUCAAUUCGCAAGAGGCUGAAUGUAUCUCACCGGAGAAAACAUCUGAGCAAACGGAACAGCACCCCUCUGUUUCAGUAUGUGUAGCCCAACUAUCUGAUGCUGUCUGAGUGGCGCAGUGGUCUAAGGCACUGCAUCGCAGUGCUUGC